UCCACAAUAGCUCAAUGGCAGAGCAUUCGGCUGUUAACCGAAGGGUUCCUGGUUCAAGUCCAGGUUGUGGAG
rnacentral:tRNA from 1 species